GUUUCACAAAAUAAAGAUUUUAAUUGUUUUUCUUUGUUCGAAAAACCAGCCGACAAAAAUGUCACAUUUAAAAACGUUUCUAAAGGACAGCGGAGUUCUCCAUGAGUGUAGAAAACUUAUUAUUAAUAAAUGGAAUUCAAAUAAUUUUCAAAGUUUUGAAACUUUCAAAUGUAUAAAUGACAUUUUUUGUUGAAUUGUGUUUAGAAUAAGGCUUUCGUAGUCCAGUUUUUCCUUGUGGUGCUACGUAAAUGGCAUUAAAGGCGUUAAAGUAGUCGUAUUAAAACGGGCAAUUGUGACACAUAAAUAUGGCAGAUUCAAACAGUGACAGGUAUAUAACAUGCACCGUAAAGAAAGCUAUAUCAUUACGUGUUGGCAAUCCUUCGGUGGAAUUUAAAUCUGGCUGUUCAGUUAUUGAUGUGAAAUUUCCUGAUGGGCAGCCAGUUGAG